GUAGCUUUGGAGAAAAGCCUGGCCAUUGUGGAGACGUAGACGUCUUUCUUCUCUGUCCUUCCUUUCAAAGACGGCUGUAAGAGAACUCUUCAUGAGAAAAUGUCCCAGCUGAAGGCUGGGAUGCAUCAGCCCUCAGAGAAGAAGGGACCUGCUGAGAAGGAAGUGAGUGAGCAGAAGCCUCAGUCUGAGGAAGCAGAAUUCUCCUCCGUAUCCCGCAGUGGGAAGUAUCAUUCCUUGAUUCAGGAUCAGGCUCGAGAGUUAACCCAUCUACGGCAGAAGAUGAAGCUUGGCAGAGUGGCCUCUGAGCUUCUCAUUCAGCAUGUCAAGAACACAGUAAAGGCCUUUGAGGAGCUACUCCACAGCAAUAACAUUGACCGCUAUAUGGAGCAGCACUUCCGCGAGCAGCUGGCCAAAGGAAGCCAGCUGGCAGAGAGCCUUGCCAGAAAAUUCAGCACGGAUGACUGUACAACUAAGAAGAAUCAAGUAGGACAGGUGCCUUCGACUCUCAGUAUCUUGAGGAAGAUGCAUAAUAUGAGUAAAGUGACAGAAGUCCUAGAGACCAAGCGGGAUGCCCAGUCCCAGACUCAGCCCCAGAUCUGGUGCAACAACCACACCCGGUCUGCCCCACAUCACUCCCUGAGCAGCACGUCUCCACAGCUUGACAAGCAGGAAGUGCGUCCUUCAGUGACUGCAGUCAAUGCCAGCGCUGCCACUUCUGCUCAUUCAGCUGCUUUGCCCAGCAACCAAGGAGCCAGGUCUGCUCAGCCCUUCCAUCCUUCGAGCGGCCCUGGCCAGCUGAGCAGGACACUAGAAGACGGUAGCAGUGGCCCAUGGGAAGAGAUGAGGCCUCAAAAAAUGAAUGCAUCUGGAGACCUAGCCUCCUUCUCCUGUUUGUACCAGCCCAACUCCGAAACCUCUGGUAAAACACAAAGGUGCACUUGGUGAAAUCGAGCCCAUUGAUAGGAAUGACACAUUCCUUUCCUGGCCGGAGGAUUUUUUGAUUCCUCUGUUAGAACUUGGCUCAUAAAAAAUGAUGGGACAAUAUGUUUUUUUGCCAGACAGUGAGAACCAGCUCAGUGCUGGUUCUUUGUAAGUGCCUUCUCCUAGUCAUCCUACCUAGGAACUCACUCUGGGCAGGAGAGUAGGAGAAGUCAGGGACAUUCUGAGGUGCUCUACAAGGAGGAUAAGUUACCUCACAUUUAAAUGCUGGUUUCUCUCUGUACUACAACCUUCUUAAGCCUAGAUUAAGACUGCCCUGGAAUGCUAAGCUCAGAUUCCAUGGGGAAGGUCUUCCUUAGGUCAAGAGCUACUGUAGGAUGGAAAACUAUUUCUACAGAGUCACCCACCCCUACACACUCUUUCCACUCUUUGACACACACCAUGCAUACAACCACGAGCCAAUCCUGCCCCCAUAAACAUUGCUUUUGGAUUUGGAGCCAAGCAUCCUGGCACCCAGCAGCUAGGAGUGCAGCUAUUUAGAGGAAUGGCUUGAAGUAGCUCCAUUUCUGUGUCCCGGGUAAUAUAACAAUAUGACAUUUUAAAUUCUCAGAGAAAAACCUGACCCGACGCAAAAUCUCCCAGUGGGUAAAGCCUAUUCUCAGCCUCCUCCCUCUGUGCAUCUUUUUCCUUCCUUGGAGAUUGUUCCCUUCUCUCCUGUUCCCCCUUCAGAUCCUGACACCUCCCCAGGCUCUUUCAUGUUCCUUUUUUGCCAAAGCUGGUUAAAGGAGAACAUUCACUAUUACUCAUUAUUCACAGCCUGGUUUAAUUUCAUAGGCACUUACCUUGGUCUUUCUCUCUGUAAGUGAGUGAAUCUCAAAGGCUGUUGAGUUGGGAUCAUCAUGGGGCAGAGGGAUGAGAUGGAGAGGGAGAUUCUCUGGAUUGUUAUCCAUGCCCAGGAGGUAGACAGCCUUUCCCAUUACUAGGCCAGUUCUGCCUAGAGGCCUUUAGUAGUUUCUCACCCCGUGUCCAUCUCCCUUAGAUGUACUUGGUGAUCUCUGUCUGGGAGGAGGCCUGUGGUGUUUCCUCACGGGGGCCACCUUGUGGUUGAAAGCCCAGGAGCUUUAACUAAAGUUGCUUGGUGCUUCCUGAAUGCCAAGGAGAGAGGAAGAAGCUGACGGAAGGAUAGAGAUAGGUAGAGAUCUUGCAGACAGAUGCCAGGCAGGCCCCACAGCUGCCCAGGGAUGGUCAGGCUUCCCCACCUCCUACCUCUCCUAUGUCUUGGUGGUUUGCAGUACCGGCUGACCUGCUGGAAAAGAAUCUUGCUGAGAUCCAGAAACUGCGCCAGCGCCUGGAGGAGUCUGUCAGCCUCAAUGACCGCCUGAGGGAGAGGCUGGAGCAUGUGCUCAGCAAUGGUGACCAAGGAAAAGGUAGAAAGGCAGAAAGUUUAUGUUUCUGUCCACAUCUAGGGAGUCUCAAAAGGGCAUAUAGCUUCUUGGGGCAGAGUGUUACAGGUGUAAAGCACAUUGGUGUGCAUGAUUUCAUUUGUUCCUUACAAUCAGCCCAGAUAGGGAAGCAGGAAGGGUACUAUUGCUCCCAGCGAGUGGUUUGCCCCAAACAGGGCUAGGUCUCAUUCUCAGGACUAUCUGAAGUGAUGUCAUUCUUAUAUGUCCUUAUACUGCCUGGUGCUGUUCUUGGGCUUGUGGCCUGACUGGCAACUGGUAGCACCAAGGUUUCCAUGGUGCCCACUUCAGCAGAAUGAGAGCAACAUUCCACCUUUAUGCCAUUACUACAUGCCUUGGAUAUCACCUGCCUCUUCUCUUGUGCUAACGACCCUUAUUCCCACACUCUUCACCCUGGAUGCUCUCACUUGGAGACCAAUUCUUCUACACCCCUUCUUCUCUCAUAUUAAGGCCAGAAGAAUGAUGACCUACAACAUCAUAACCAAAGCCAGUUAGGGGGAAAGACCCUGGUCCAUACCUGAAGCCAUUGCAUGUGAGAGUGUGUGGCCUACUGUGGUGUGCCCAGCAAAACCUGAGCCUGAGCCAUACUGCACUGUUAUCCCAGUGCAUGAGGACACCAGGUUUUCUGAUUGGCUGAGACUAAAAUUUUAAUGGGUGCAGGAAAGUACAUCUUUGAAAGUAUCUGUUACCUAAAGAUGCGACUUGUCUGGGUUAUUUUUAUUCCCUGUGAAGUAUCUACCUCCAUCUUCCAUGGUUAGGACCUGUAGUCCACACUGUAGUUCUGCAACAGAAAAAGGGCUCAGGGAAGAAAACUGGAGUUUUCAGGCUUCCAGAAGGAAAAAAAUCAAAGAUGAAGUCAUUUCCAUAUUUCUUCCUUUCUGCAGCAAUGCCCAGUCAUAGAAGCAAAGAGAAGUAGGCAGCACAAAAAUUGACCAGAUCCACACAGCCUAAAACUAUCAUAGCUUAUUCCCAAUCUAGAUAAGGCUGCUUCUUACAAGAUCCCACCUACAUGUUCACGGACUCCUGGCUCCAGAAGUAAAUAGUUCUGGAAAAUCUACAUGUCAUGUUUAAAUUCCUUUCCCAAUCUUUGCAGAUAAUCAGAGAGUCACUAGCUGUCAACUAGAAAACAGCUUGGUGUCUCUCUUCCUGUCUUUCCCACUUUCACCUGGGUAUGGAAUAGGAGAGAAGAAAUAUAAGUUUUUGUUUGGUACAAUCAGUGAAUUCCCUAAUCCCUCCAGACUUCAUUGCAACCCUGUCUCUCCCUCCCUAGGUACUGCACAGUCCACUGUAGCCCCUCGUUCAUAUACUCAGAGUCACUCUUCCAGCUGUGGCGAGGCUAUCCUGUGACAUGAUGCCUAGAGGGUCUAGAAGAAUGUUCUCCAGAACUUUUCCAGCCCUGUCCAACAGAAUUCUUGGGUGGGAACUUGGAGGCAUUGGAUGUUAUCUUUAAAUGAAGAGAUCAAAUUAAUAAAUUAUUUUUAAAAUUAGUGUUCAUAUUUAUUUAUUGAACACCUAUAAAGAGUAAACUUUGUGUAGAAAAGAAUAAAACCAGAAUGGCCUGAAAUUCGUGGAAAAGGUUAAAGGAGAAAUGAGUUUUCUUUAUUAGCUAUCUCUGUUUCAGAAGACUAGAAUGAGAAUUUCACUGCUGUGGGAAGGUAAGACAUAUUAAUAGAUCGUGAGGAUGUAGAAUUCCUUGACUUCCAUUACAUGCUUAGAAAGAACAGAAAAACUGUCACAUGUGAAAAGAUUGUAGGAUAAAAUCUGAAUGUUUUAAAAUGAGGAUAACUUACCAUAUCAGGUGAGCUUCAUUCAAGAGAAUGACAGAACCUACUUCUCAAUGUGAAUAAACAUUGAGAAGUCGUGAAGAGCACAGUUGCCUUAUGCCUGGAAUAUAGCCAUUCUGACUACUGUGAGAUGAUAUCUCACUGUAGUUUUAAUUUGCAUUUCUCUGAUGAUUAGUGAUGUUGUGCAUUUUUUCAUAUAUUUGUUGACUGCUUGUAUGUCUUUUUUUGAUAAGUGUCUACCCGUGUCCUUUGCCCAUUUUUAAAAUAGGGUUAUUUGGUUUUCUCUUGUUGAUUUAAGUUUCUUAUAGAGUCUGGAUAUUAGUCCUUUGUCAGAUGCAUAGUUUUCAAAUAUUUUCUCCCAUUCUGUAGGUUGACUGUAUACUCUGUUGAUUAUUUCUUUUGCAGUGCAGAAGCUUUUUACAUUUAAGUCCCAUUUGUCAAUUUUCGUUUUUGUUGCAUUUGCUUUUGAGGUCUUAGUCAUAGGCCAAUGUCGAGAAGAGAUUUUCCUAGGUUUUCUUCUAGCAUUUUUAUAGUUUGACA
ensembl:lincRNA